ensembl:lncRNA
GCCAUCUUUAUUUUCAAGUUUAAUCCAACAAACGUUACAGUAGCUUGCAUGCUAGAUAACACAGUAGCUCCUAUGGGUGUGUGAAAAAGUGAUAGUGAAUUAUUUGAAAGGAAGAACGCCGGCUAAAAUGAUUUGACCAAUCCCUGUCUUAGACUUUGCCUUAGGGUCUGCAAGCAGUUAGCUAAGGAAUGGAUGUGCCACCACCAGUCAAGAAUGGAGUGUAAGCAGCUAAGUUCUUGGUAACAAUCUACAUACAACCAUUAUUUUCCUUCAGUUUAGAUGUUUUGAGUCAUCUAGGACCCCCCGCUAUUGACGUCAGAUACGUCAUAAUGUAACAAUUGAAAGGCAAAAUCGCCUCGUGGAAAAAUACGUACUUUGGGGCAGUGGGUUGAAAUGAAGUCAUAAGAAUACAGGUAGGAUACACAGUUGUAAACAAAAGUGUCGCUUUUAUGAAUAUCUGUAAUUUUUAUAAAAUUUAACUGGAAAAGUACAUAAAAAUUCAACAACAUUAUAGUGUACUUGAUUUUGUGCACGUUUUUUCAAAUGGAAAAGAAACAUAGCAUCAACCAGGAUUUUGAUUUCAGAGCAAAUUACCUGGAAAGAUGCAUCGAGCAGAUCUAAAACAUAAAACUAAAGUUGUAGCACUAACCCCAUACAUCUCAGUAGUAUUACACAUUAUUAACCAUUAUGGCCAAUGAGGUAGCUGUAGUAGGUCCAUUUAAAAAAAAUACAUAGCACACAACAGGAUACAAAGUUUGUUCCGGUCCACACACAUCCCUUGACAUGGCUGGUAAACAUGAAGAUUGCACUUACCAAAUAAAUUAAAUUCAAAAACGGAAUAAACAACUCCAGAAAUGUGAUAAUACGGCUACAUCCAUUCCAGGUGAAAUGUAAAAGAAAUUGGAUUUGUAAUUUAAUGCAAACUGCUUACCUUUCAAUCACUUAUGUUGACAUUGCCAGUAGGCCUUUCACUCAUAUUUACCACAUUGCUGUAAAGAAAAGGCUAGUCCCUUGGGUCUGCCAAGCAGAAUAUCAGGGAUCAUUUCAACUUUUGAAUACUGACUGUGGAACACAUUUGGAAAGGCUAAUGUCAUGAUAUCUAAACCAACGAGACUAAGCCUGUGUGAGCAUGUGCUCAGCGCCUCUCGGUAUCAAGAGGUGCUGAAGAACAACAAUAUACACCGUUUGGAUUUCUAUGUGAGUGUGAAGGACAACAGGUGUGUCCUGUUACUCUCUUAUCUGUACUCCGGCUCCCCCUGCUACUCACAUGGUCUGUAUAAUGAACGAAUGGUGUUUUUAUCUCAUGUGGAGGGUAGAUUAACGACCCUCCACAUAACAACCUUUGUCUCUCCUAAAGGAGUAGGAGUCCACUAUCUCUUGGGAGAGUGGGAAUCUCAGUAAGGUUGCACUACACCGUGUAACUCAGAUUUUUCAGAAAAUAGAGACACUCGCAUUGAUUUAUUUGAAUCCGAACUAUCCACGACAGUCGUGCCUAAUGGCCUUGCUUUGCCUUGGGCAAAAGAAGAAGAAGUCUGGCUAAAGCGCUCCCGGUCGGAUUGCGAACUAGCACCUACCACAGGCAGGCUGGGCACCUGCAAGCUACUUGUAGUGUUGAGCCAGAUUAGUGUUUGUAUCCUCUAAAUGCUUUGGUCUCAGAGAACUUCUACCGAGCUUCCACUACUUCAACUGUCCCAAGCCUCUUGACGUUCAGCAUCAUCUCAGCGCUACACACCAAACCACCACCUUCAAACCGGCCACUCCUAUUCAAACAGCAGCACUAUAAAACUCCCCAAAUACUUUUGUAUUGAUUCCUAACAUGUUGUCUACCUCCAGCAGCACGUGUUUACCAAACACAAUUCUGGUUAUGUGUAAAUUAACUUAGUAAAUAGGCAUUUCUGAUACAACAAGAUCAUCCUCAUUAACAACAAUACAUUGUAAGGGUAUAACGUCAUGAAUAUAAAAAAAAAUUUAAGCAACUGGAUCAGUCCAUUUGGACCAAAGCAGAUAAAGUAGUUCAUGUCCAGAUAAAAAGUGUGAAGAGAAUCAGGACCCAAUCGUGUGCGGUAUUCACUCCAGCGAGUGUUCCUUAUGAUUUUGAAAUAGAUCAGUCCAAGAAUGACCACCACUUUCAAUCAUUUAUCCUGUAGAAGAGGGGGAAACAAACAUUAACACAGUCUGUAGAGCAUGUUUGCACAGCACCAACAAAAGCCUUGGAAUUAUGAC